AGGUGCCAACACUUUGACCAGUUGGUUUAGAAUAGAGAAGGGGGGUGCUCUUGGUUACAAAUUGAAGUACUGCCCCGCAGUAUGUGGAACAUGCCCCGCCUUAUGCAACGAAAUUGAGAGGGGCUUUGAUGGAGAAAUGGUACGUUUGGCUCUCUCCACUGGCAAUGGAUGGCCAUUUAUCUUUAAGAAAGUUGGAAAAUCAGCCACGGAGAUUCAACAAGUUGUUCAUAAUUAGAUUGAAAGCAAUCAUUAUGCAUGAACUAGUAGUUACUACUUAAUAUUAGCUUCAAGUAAAUAAUGCUGAGAGAACUUAUUGUUAAGAUUGCCUUGUUUGAAGCGGCAGCAUGUAUAUAUAUAUGCUUGCUCACAAGGUUUGUCUCUCAGAGUCCUCCUCUUUGUAUUCUUUUCAGCUUAAUGAAUAAACUAUUUACUUAUUUACUUCUUUUGUUGCCAUUGAUUCUAGUAGCAUUCGACUCAUUAACUUGGAUACAUUACCUUGUAAUUAACCAAAAACUUAUGUGUGUAUAUAUAUAUAUCAAAACAAAAAAAAAGAGUGAGAGAGGAAAAUAGACUACCAAGUACCAAGUGAAAAAUGGUGAUACUAAAUUUCCAGAUAUAUGGCGUUGUUUGUGUGUGACAAACACCAAGUAUAAAUAGGUGGAAGUAUGACUACUUAUCAAGAGUGGUAUGGCUCAAAAACUACCCUCAUCGAAUUAUUUCAUCCUACUCAUUCAUUAUCAAUAGGAAGAAGGAUACUUCCAACAAGAAAUAUUUUGAAGGGUUAGUGUUGAGUUAGCUAAAAAUCAAAGUUUAUCAGAAGCUCGAUCUAAAAUUCGCCAAAAGGAAGAUUAUUCAAAGCAAUUUCAAUGCACAACGGGAAUGGAAUAGUCUUUGAGUGGUUAGGGCACCUUAUCUUUUGAGAUAAAGAAGGGUUGGUCCAUGUUGGAGUUCGUGACUAAUCCUUACAACAAUGUCGUUUUCAAAGUUUGAACCUAUGUCAUCCUUUGAACAUGUAAUUUGUCUUACCAUUACACCUAACAUUGUUGGUGAUUUACUUUAUUAUAUUUUUAAUUAAUAAUUAUGAUAUAUAGUAUAUUUAAGAUGGAUUUUCUUAUUCAUGUAUAUCAAUUGAAUAAAAUAUUUGUAUUUAAAAUUUUAACUCGACAUAUCAAAGGUCUGCUACUCUAGCACGUCUCUGAUCUGCUGCUCUAGCAUGUUUUGGUUUUUUUAGGGUUUUUUUUUGCUUAUUUCUCUUUGUUCUGGCAAUGACAGUUCUUGGGAUAGAGUAUUUCUUCUCAAUCUUUUGAUUUUGAUUCGUGGCAAUGGAGGAUGAAUUGGCAGAGUUAACAUUGAAAGAUGAGGAAUAGGAGAUUUGGCUAGUACAGAAGGAAACUGAUUUUGCGACAGUGGUUUAAGAUCUUUGUCCGGUUGGAUGCUUUCUCACAACAAGUGUAAUCCACUUACGACAAUGAGAAGCGCGACUGUGAAUCUAUGGUAUCCUCUUAGAGGAGUUUAGAUCUCUAAUUUGGGGGAUAAGAGGUUAUUAUUUCAAUUUUUUCAUAAAAUGGAUAUUGAUAGGGUACUAAAUGGGGAUCCAUGGACUUUCAAUAAUCAUCUUUUGGUGUUUCAUUUUUUGGAGGAUGGUGAGGAUCCAAUGAAGGUACUGCUAAUCUAUACGACUUUUAGGGUACAAGUGCAUGAUUUACCCCCAGGGUUUUUUACUGAAUCUAUAGCAAAGAAGUUAGGUAAUUUUAAGGGUAAGGUUUUUAGAUCAAUGGCAAAAGCUUGGGUAAGGGCCUCAAGAAUUUCUUACAUAUACGGGUUUAGAUGGAUGUUAGACGCUCUUUAAAGCAAAAAAAGAAGAUUAUGUUUUCACUUGGGAAGUGUUCCUAUGUCAACUUGAUAUACGAAUGACUAACUCUGUUCUAUUUCUUCUAUGGUUGUUUGGGACACAAUGACUCUUUCUGUUAGGUUAGAAUGACUAAAGGAUUAGAAGUUUUAGAGAUGGGAUGGUAUCUAUCUCUAAAAGCCCAGUCUAGGAGAGUUGCUACGAUAAACAGUGUGUGGCUGCGGGAGGAAGGUGAAGGGGAGAUAAGGGGAAAUACCCUAAGGCAUUUUGAUUUGGGGUAGGGACUGUGGGAGGAUGGAAGGAAAGAAUCUAGGAUGCCCAUAGAUCCUGUGUUGGGGUUAAAUUUGGAGGGUGAUUUGAAUAUAGUGUCGGGUAUGCAAGGGGACUCUUCAAACAUAAAGGAUCAUUUGAAUAUGGAUCACGACUCGGAGAGGUGGAGAUGGGAAAAAAAGACCCAAAAAGGAUAAUGAAAAUCAUAGUGUUUCGAUUGUGACAGAUUCACUUGUGAUUAGAGAUGAGAGAUCGCUGGGACGAACUCACUUUUUAUCGGCGGUUGCCAGGGGCAAGAUGAUCGGUCGCAAUGAAAAUAAUUAGUUGGAACGUCUGUUGAUUGGGGUGUCCACGAGCUAUAAGAAGGCUUCGACAUAUGCUGAAGGUGUAUAAUCCCCAAGUGGUCUUCUUUAUGGAGACAAAAAUUAGUAAUGUGCAAAUGGAGAAUGUGCAUAGAAGGUGUGGAUUUUUAAAUGGUAUUGAUGUUUCUGCCGAUGGUUUAAGAGGAGGUCAUUUUUUAGCUUGGAAGAAAAAUGUUAAAACGAAUUUAAGGAGUCAUUCUAGUAGUCAUGUAUAUGUUGUAUUUUAGGAGACUGAUAAUGGAGGUUUACUGGCUUCUAUUGGACAUCGAAUACGCGUAGCAGAGACAAUUCAUGGAAUUUGUUAAGAAAUCUAGGACGCUCUCAGGAGUUCCCUUGGCUAGUGUGUGAUAAUUUUAAUGAAAUUAUGUACUCUUUUGAAAAGUUAGGGUGCCAAGAGAGGAGAGGAGAAUGGAGGUCUUUCGAGGAGUCUUAGAGGAAUGUUAGUUAAUGGACAUUGGAUACUUUAGGGCUUGGUUUACCUGGGAAAGGGGAAACUUACCGAAAACGAAUAUGAGAGAGCGACUAGAUAGAGGAGUGGUGAAUGUCGAAUGGAUGAACAUGUUUUCUAGUGCAGUGGUUUAGCAUUUACCACAUUCUUUUCCAGAUCAUUGUCCCCUUCUUAAUUAUACGGAGCAGGAGAGUAUUAGGUUGAGGCAGAAAAGGUUUCAGUCUGAGGCAUGGUGGGUAAUGUAAGAAUCUUUUAAGGAGGAGGUUAAACAAACAUGUCAAUCUACUUCGGGUGAUAUGUUGGCUAGGCUAGAAGGUGUGAGGAAGGGCUUGCUGAGAUGGGUGGGUUUUGUUAGAAAUAAAAGAGAGGGCCUUAAGAAGGAACUGACUAGAAAAUUAGAGGAGAUGAUGGGAAAGGAUAGAGAUGAUGAGAAUAUUGUUGAACUAUCUUAAGAUUCUCUUGUCAUAACUUGAAGUUGGUGUCAUUUAAUAUAAGAAUACAAUUAAUGCCUGCAAUAAUGUUGGCAGGUAUAAUCAUUGUUGUAUCAAACAAAACAAUCUCACGUAUGACUUCAAAUAUAAAACAAAAUAAUAAUUAAUUCAAAUAAAGGUAAACCCUAAGAUACCAAUCACUCCAUUAAUAUUUCAUUUUUGGACAAAUAUAUUAAGUUGUAAAUGAUAUCUUGGUGUAGUAAUUAAACAUCGACAAUAAGCGUCACAUGUUUAUUACAACAGUUGCAAAUGUAAUUUUGUUAAAUAUAAGCCUCCAUUUAGACCAGUCAAUAUUAACAUAACUUAAGUUACUUGCACACAACUCCAAAAUUAUAAAAGUCCAAUUGUUAAACCGAUUUGGUUCCUUUAACAUAGGAAAGCCGAAUUGCAUAAACAAUCAAUGUAUCCCCUAUUUUAUUCAUGUUUAUCACAAUGUUUGGAGUGCUCACUCUUUUAGGGUGUGCUUACCAUUUAGGUUAAAAAGCAUCAUUCAACCCAAACAAUUUUUUAAAACCAAACAUUAAUUUUAAACUAGCAUUUUAGGCCAACCCAAAACUUCUAGCUUUUACCUUUCGGAAAGGUGCUUUUCAAUUAAAAACCUUUUUAUUCCUCAUUAAAUCUUCUUAUUUAUAACAUAAUGUCUAAAAUAGAAAUUUUAUUUUUCUAAAAACACUUAUAGACAACAAUAAUGUUAAGUAUAACUCCUAUUUUUAGUCAAAUUUGAAAAAUAAUCUUUUAGUUAAACUCUGUUUAUUUAUUUCAGUCAAACACUGAUUAGUUUAGAUUAUUUUUUUAUUAUUUGACAUAUGAAUUUAGCCUAUAAAUAGGCUCUUUUACAACCUUAGAAAUAACACCCAUUAGAGAUUAGAACUCAUAACACAUUUAGAGAAUUUUGUGUUUACGUUUUGAGAGUUCUUUGUUUUCGGGUUUUCGGGGUUUAGUUUUAUCUCUAUCUUUUAUACUCUUCGUUCUUUUGCCAUUAUAAUAAAAUUAUCUUUGCCCGUGAUUUUUUAUCCUCUUUGGAGGAGUUUUUCCAUGUUAAAUUUGUGUGUUCAAUUUCUCAAUUUAUUCUGCUAUUUUUGUUACUUGUUGCUUAAUCGGGCCGAUCCCUAACAAGUGGUAUCAGAGCUAGUUCAAAGAUUAGCCAUUUAGAUAUGGCAACAACAAGGUUUGAAAUUGAGAAGUUCGAUGGUGAGACAAAUUUCAAUCUGUGGCAAGUUCGGAUGAUGGCAAUUCUAGUUCAAUCCGGUUUGAAAAAGGUUGUUACCGGGAAAAAACCUGAGAAUCUAAAUAAAACAGAAUGGGAAGAGCUUGAUGAAAAGGCAUUGUCUGCAAUCUAGUUGUGCCUCGCGAAUACUGUAUUGCAGGAGGUAUUGAUGGAGAAGACCUCAUCCGCCUUGUGGAAAAGGUUAGAAACUUUUUAUGCGACUAAGUCUCUAGCUAACCGUUUAGUGUUGAAACAACAUCUAUUUACGUUUCGCAUGAACGAAGGUAAGCUUCUUAGAGAUCACACAGUCAAUUUAUUACUCUUUUAAAUGAUUUAAAGAACGUUGAGGUUCAUAUUGAUGAUGAAGAUCAAGCUAUGCUAUUAUUAUGCUCUUUACCCCCUUCAUACAAGUCUUUUAGGGAGACCCUGAUUUAUGGCAAAGACAAAAUCUCGUUCGAAGAUGUGAAGGGUCAUUUGUUGAGUAGAGACAAACUCGACAAUGAGCUUCAUUUGGAUACCAAGGCAGAUAGGCAAGUUUCCAUUUUAGUAGCAUCAAAGAAACGAGACAAAAGGUGUCGCUAUUGUAAAAAGUUAGGUCACGUCAAAGCAGAUUGUUAUAAACUGCGAAAUAAAAGAGCUGCUGAGAGUAACGAGGAAGAUGUAGCUGGUGCUAAUUUGGCCGAUGAAAGUGGUGAUGAUUUCUUGUUAGUGUCAACAUGCGAUAACUCCAAACUCACGUCCAAGUGGAUCCUAGAUUCGGGAUGUUCUUUCCACAUGUAUCCCAAUAAAAAAUGGUUCUCUACAUACAGUUCGGUUGAAGGUGGAUUUGUGUGCAUGGGAAACGAUUCAUCUAGUAAGGUAGUUGGUAUUGGAACUGUUAAAAUCAGGACACAUGAAGGGACAAUUAGGACACUCUCAGAUGUCAGGUAUGUACCUGAUUUACGAAAGAAUCUCAUCUCCUUGCUUAUUUUAGACUUGAAAGGAUGCAAAAUCAACAUCGAUUCGAGCGGUAUUAAAGUAUCUCGUGGAGCUUUCGUUUUGUUAAAAGGUAAAAGAACUGAUAGUCUUUAUAUUCUGGAAGGUUCUACAGUGACUGGUGAAAUCGGACAUCCUUCAUCCGUUAUAAAGUCGAAGUCAACUCGUUUGGAGCGGAGGCAACUUGGUCAUAAGAGGGAAAAUGUAUGACUGUUUCGUUGAAGAGAGGUUCUCUUUUGGAUGCAGGUUUUGAAAAGUUAAGGCACUAUGUUCGUGAAAAUCAGACCCGAUUAGUUUUGAUUUGGCAGUGUACAAGUCAAAGGCUAGAAGUCUUCUAGUUUCUAAGUACAGAUUCGACUUAGUUAAUUCCCUGCAUAGUUCAAGAUAGGCUCGUGGCGGGCUUUGGCAAAGAUGGCGUUGUGGAAAUGUGAGUCAAGGUGGAGAUUUGUUAAGUGUGACUCCUAUUUUAAGUCAAAUUUGAAAAAUAAUCUUUUAGUUAAACUCUGUUUAUUUAUUUCAGUCAAACACUGAUUAGUUUAGAUUAUUUUUUUUAUUAUUUGACAUAUGAAUUUAGCCUAUAAAUAGACUCUUUUACAACCUUAGAAAUAACACCCAUUAGAGAUUAGAACUCAUAACACAAUUAGAGAAUUUUGUGUUUACGUUUUGAGAGUUCUUUGUUUUCGGGUUUUUAGGGUUUAGUUUUAUCUGCAUAUUUUGUACUCUUCGUUCUUUUGCCGUUAUAAUAAAAUUAUAUUUGUCCGUGAUUUUUUAUCCUCUUUAGAGGAGUUUUUUCACGUUAAAUUUGUGUGUUUAAUUUCUCAAUUUAUUCCACUAUUUUUAUUAUUUGUUGCUUAAUCACUCUUUUUUAACAGAGAGCUUAUCUCUUAGCAAUAGUUUGGGCAAACAAAAAUAAUGUAUAUAUGAAAACGAAUAUUGAAUUUGAAUGUACAAUCAAUUUUUUGAACAAUUAAUUAAAAAGAAUGUUUGAAUUCAAAAAUUUUAAAAAUUUUGAUAAAAAAUGUGGAAGCGCAGACUUGUGUGAUGAAUAGUAAUGAUAAUAAUGAUAGAAGUUGUUUUCCUGGCACAAGCAACUUAUGGGAUUCGUCCAUUUGGUUCUAUAUUUCUCCGCUGCCUUGAGUGUUUAAGAGUUAAACGAUAAAUUAUUAAGUAGAAAACACCAAACGAAUUGAAUUAUUUUCUUAAGAUGGUGUCGGUAAUGUAUCUGUAGAUACCCAUUUGAAUUUUUAGAAAACUGAAAAAAUAAUUUAUUUUUUCGAUUGAAUCAGCAGCAAGAAAAUAAGAAAAAAGACAACUUUGAGUUUGAGUUUGCAGCUCUGAGAUUUCGUUCGGUGAUUUGAACGGUGAGGUGAUAUGUUUAAAUGCGGGAAAUAAUAUAUAUCGGACUAGCAACAAUAUGAUGGAGUGAAAUAGAGAUUGAAGAAAGAGUAAUUUGAAGCUUUGGUCAUUAUAUUAAAGGAUUUCGAGCCGAUUUUUAGGAAAUCUAAAUCGUAGAAGUGAACAAAUAUUCUUCUUUUGUGCCACAAUCGACACAAAAGGCUAUUGUGAAUGGCAACAUUGACAAUUAUUGAGUACGGUGGCUAAAAUUUUUAAUUAAAAAAAGGAAAUAAAUAAAAUAAAGGAAAUGAAAACAAAAAGAAAAAUGUGAAAAGAAAGAAAGAAAUAAUAAUAAUAAUAAUAAUAACAACGUGAACUAUCUUAAGGUUCUCUUGUCAUAACUUGAAAUUGGUGUCAUUUAAUAUAAGAAUACAAUUAAUACAUGCAGUAAUGUCAAGGUAGAAUUGUAGUUGUAUCAAACAAAAUAAUCUCACUAAAAUAAUAAUUAAUUCGAAUAAAGGUAAACCCUAAGUUACUAAUCACUCCAUUUAUAUUUCAUCUUUGGAUAAAUAUAUUAAUUUGUAAAUGACAUCUUUGUGUAGUAAUUAAAUACUGACAAUAAGUAUCGCAUGUUUAUUACAACAGUUGCAAAUGAAAUUUUGUUAAAUAUUAGCCUCCAUUUAGGCCCAUCAAUAUUAACAUAACUUAAGUUAUAUGCAUAAAACCCCAAAAGUAUAAAAAUUUUAUUGUUAUUUAAAUAUAUUUUUAAAUUUUUAAAUACUUUUUGUUUAAAUUUUAUAAUUUUUUAAAUAGUGAACCCGUCGGAUCAAAGAUCAUAUUGAUUAAAUUCAAUCAAAUCAAGAAUUGAUUAUUUCACCAAUUCACUGGCCCAAUUUACAAGAUUAUGUAUUAUGUAUUAUUAUUAUUAUUAUUAUUAUUAUUACGUGUCACUCAUCAUUUGAUUAUGAGAAGAUAAGAAAGAUGAAAACAAAGUGGACCUAAUAAUUAACCUCACAUGUGAAAUGUGUUAUUGAUGCAUCGUUGAGAGCACCAAAAAUAUCCUAUCCCUAUAAAAUAACGAAAAGAAUAGUAAAAGAGAAUUAGGGCCAAAUCUUCAGACUGGAUUUGCACAACUUCUUGUUCCUCGAGAUCCCGGGCAUAGUCGUGCCCAAGAAAAAUGGCGUACCUGAAAAAAAUAAAAAAAAUAGAAUUAAAAAUAUGGACGAAUUGAGAUUGUGUAACUUGAAAUUGAAAUUGUAAAAAUAAACAGAGUCGUCAAAACAGAUUCUUGGAUUGAGAGAUUCUAGCCUCUAGUUAUCUCGAUCCUCAUUGGUUCAAUCCUAGGCUUUUAGGUGAUCCUUCUCGAACAGAAUAAGCUAGUUAUAGUAGAAGAGGACACCUACGACUACCAACUCUACUUAGAUUUUAGACUUACGAUUUAGAGGAACCUAACUCAAGCCAACCGUCACUUUUGUUGGACCGUCUUAAACUAGAUCAUCAUUUCUCAAUGGCAAAUACCAUGUCAUUUUGUCUAUUGGGCUUAACAACCACUGACACAGUAAGCUAACGAACCGACUGUGUCACCUUCCCAAAACAUACAAAACGGUCGCCUUUGCACAAGAUGAAAAGACUUUUGGAAGGACAUAGACAAAAGCGUUAGUCCCGUAAUGCGGAGAAACGAUGAAUUAAGCAUCAGUCCCGUAAUGCGGAGAAACGAUGAAUACUCGUUGAGAAAGCUAAGUGCAGAUUUUAUGCCUCAUGAACCUUUUUUGAGGAAUCAUGACAACCUUUAGCUAGAUGAGUUUAGUGGCUCAUGCUUUUCGGGAAAAAAAAAAAGAAAUAAGUUUACUAAAAUGGAAUUUUAUUGAAUAAAUAAAAAGGAACAAAAAGCUAAGAGCUUUAGAGAGAGGGAGUUUUUACAGAAAAGAUUAGUGCAAUUUGUGUCACGCCGUCCCCUAUUUAUAUUACUUAGAAAACCUAGUUUUUUCCUAUUUAAAUUCUAAAAGAUAAAUAAAGAUAAAAGCUGAAAUUAAAUCUAAAUAAUAAUCUUAACAAUAAUCCUAAUAGAAUUCAAUUUAAAUAGAGUCUUGUGUUUAUAAAAUCUCUUAUUUGAAUUGUUGCCCCCAAGUCUUCCACACUUUGUAUUUUUGGCACCAUUUCUUUCCUAUUUUGCAUUUUGACCCAUUUUGUUUCAAAUUCACACUUUUUGCCCCCAAAUUUCCUUUUGGCUUCAAUUUAAUCCCUACCAGAUAAAAACCCAUAAAUAGCUCAAAUUAGUAGGAUUAUAUUCAAAAUAAGUAUGUAAUUAAUACAUAAAAAUAUGUUAUUCCAGAGUAUUAUCAAAUUCCCCCUACUUAGCCCAUGCUUGUCCUUAAGAAUAGUUCCUAUCUACUGUGAAAUUUAGAUUUUACCAUGAAAGAAAUAUUACUCCAAAGUUUUAUAAAAAUUAGGCAUAAUGCAUAUGAAAAAUAAAGAGAACCUUUAGCUUGCUUUAAGUAAAACUGGAAAAGUAUUCCAAUUUAAACAUGCAAAAAUCAAAACCGACUUGGAUCAUUUCAUGAAAAUUAGGUAAUUUACUAAACUUACCAAGACACCCUAUUUGUUUCCACCCUUAGUCCCCAAAUGCAAUUCAUUAUUAUUACUUAUUUUUCUUUUUUUUAAUAAAAUGUUGAACCUUUUGACGCAAAGACAGAUGACAACCAAGCAGCCCACCCUGGUUAUUCAGCCCAACACAUUCCUAAAAAUUUUUUGUUUAAUUCCGAUUAGCAGAGUUUGUAAUACCCCGAAAAUUACUACAGUAAUAAAUUAAGAUAAUAUUCUUGACAUAGUAAAAUAAGGAAAUAAAGUGAUAAAAGGGUAAUUUUGAGUUAUGUCAACAUUGGGAAGUAUGUUAUGACAUAUUAAUUCAAGAAAGGAUUAAAUUGUAAAAGUGAGAAAAAUUUUAUUACCCAAGAGUAAAUACUCAAAAUUUGAGGGGUUAAAAUGUAAAUAUGAAAAAUUUGAAAGACCAAUAGUGUAAAUAUUUUAAGGGUGGAAUAAUCUAGAAACUAAGAAAAAUGGAUGAAUUGGGACCAAAUUGAAUAGGUGAAGAAUUAUGAGGGACUAAAUCAUAAUUUUACCAAAUUAAGUGAUGACUCAAGGAUGGAAUUUUAAAAGAUCUAAAAGGCAAAAUGGUCAAUUACAAGAAAGAAAAAUCUAGAAAAUAAUGAUGAUGUUGGAGAUAUUUUAGAUUAAAUAAAUAAAUAAAUAUUAGUUUAUUAAUAUUUUAAUUUAAUUUUUAAAUGAGAUUUUAUUAUUUUAUUAUUAUUUUAUUAUUAUUUUAUUUAAUAUAUAUAUGGAAGGAAAGAUGAAGAAUUUUCAUCUUCUUCCUAUGCAACUAAUGUAUGAAGAGAAAAGAAAGGAAGAAACUUUCAUUUCUUUACAAUUUGACCCUUUCACCAAAUACUCACCAUUUUCACUUAGAAAUCAAAAGAAUUUCCAUGUCCAUCAAGAGAGAAAGAUAACAAGGAGACUAUGGGGAGUUAUAAAAUCAAGUUAGGUUCAAGAAAUAGAAGCUGGAGGAGAGAAAAAAUCAAGUUAAAGGUUGCAACUAAUAGGACAAGGUAAGAACAUCAAGAUUAAUUCAAUAUAUUUUUAAGUUUGUUAUCAUUGAAAAAGCAUGGAAAUGAUGUUAUAGUAGAGUUUUCUUAAAUAAAGUCUUAUGUUCUUGAUAUAUUAGUGAAGGGAAAUAAGAGAAAGUGAUGGAAAAUAUUAUAGAGAAAAUGAAUAAGGAAGUUAUAAACUUAGUAAUCAAUAUCAUGCAUUAAAACAGUUUUGGACAGCAGCAGUAGUCUAACUUUGAAAAAUCACCAAAAAUUGUGGGAAUCGAAUUAGAGGAUGUAAAAUAUGAAUUUAAAUAUUAUUGAGUCUAGUUUAUCAUAGAAGAAAUGGUGUAAGCAAUGGAAGUAUAAAUCAUGAGAUAUAAUAGGUUUUGUGAGACAAGGUCAGAAUGAUUUCGGGUUCCGCUGUUCUAACUUUGGAAAAUCAUAAAAAAUUGGAUAAAACUAAUUAGGGGUUUAAAUUUAUAUGUUUAAAAUCCUUAAUUAGUAUAUUUUCAAGAUAAAUAAACUAGGACAUCAUUAAAAUUCUGUACAAUGAGAUAAUUAAUUUUUAGUGAAGAGAGUUUGGAACAGUCAAACAGUGAAAUAGGGGAAAAUUUAAAGAAUAAACUGUACUUAUUGGUUGAACCAAAAGUUCUGAAAUUUUUAUGGUAAGAAUAUAUGUGAGUCUAGUUUCAAGUAAAAUUAACGGAUCUUAAUUUGGAGCUCUGUAGCUCAAGAUAUAAAUAAUUUUGUGACUAUGACUCAAGUGGACAGCUUUGAAUGAACAAAUAAAUAAAUAGUGAAAUUAUAGAUAAUGUUACAUAUAAGCAUGUUAUAUACAUUAAGAAUGUGGAAUGGAGAGGUGGAGGAGGAAAAAUAUAUGAUUAUUCAACUAGCAUGAGUUUUCAUUAAAAAUGGCCAAUUUGCAUGUUUUAGGUUCAAGGAUUAAAUUGAAUAAAAGUAAUAUUUUAAGGGUAAAUUGGUAAAAAUGUCAAAAAGUGACCAAAUUUCAUGAAUGAAUUGUUUUAUUAUUUAAAUUAGUAAAUUUAAUGAAAUAUUAAUUUACAUCAAGAUUGGGUGGAAAUUUGAGAAAAAUAGAAAAUUUUUAAAAUGUCCCUGAAUUUUGGUUUUUCUACAAUUUAGCCUGGUAAGUUUGUGUGAACUGUAUUCUGUAUAAUUUUAAUUGAAGUGAAUUCUAUUUGGUAAUGAAUAUUAUAUAUGUGUGUGUUUUAUUAUUGGAAUGGAAUUAUUAUUGGUAAUAUGUAUAUUUGAUGCAUUGAAAUGAUUAUCGGACGCUCAAUUGAGUUGGAAGCUUGUUGGAGAUAUAUCAUAUUAUCCAUUGGUUCUAUCGAUAAUUUUGGAUGAUUUGAUUCGGUUAUAAUGGCAUGUAGAAGUUAAAUUGGUUAACGUUAGCUCAUUAAUGUUUUAAUUUUGAUUGGUUAUAAAUACGAAUGUUUGAUGAAAUGAAAUGUUUGUAAAUUAAUUUGUAAACUCCAAUAAUGCUCUAUAACCCUAUUCUGGAGAUGGAUACGGGUUAGGGGUGUUACAGAGUUUUACCUAACACGUUACACAACCUUUUGACGCGAAAUAGGAUGACAACCCAAGCACCCUACCCUGAUUACUCAGUCAGUCACGUUUUAAGCUACACUCAUAACCAUGGAGGCAUAAAAAAAUUUUAUUGUAAUGAAAUAAAAUUUUAAUUUUGGAGGACUAGGAAAAACAAUCAAGUGUCAAAAAUAAGUUUUGGCAACUCCCUAACAGUCAUGAACAUAAAUUUAGCAUACAAUUGUAUUAGGUGUCCUCUUUGCAUUUAGACUUAAUCAAUUAAAAGUAAGAUAGGGCUAACUCCAUUAAUCAUAAUUAUUUUAGCCUAAUAGAAAUAAAACGUCAGAGUCGAAGUCAAAAUCGUCGAACACAACUGCUAGUUGGGCCGAAAGAGCUUGUGGCCAUCGACUAGUCCGGUGUCGAGAGGGGUCGAAAGCCGAAGAUGGUGGUGGCGAUGGUAGGUGUGAAGCAAGCGAUGGGGGAAACGGUGGAGGAAAAGAAAGGGCUAACGGUGGUGGUGAAGUCGAGUGGGAAGGUGCGGUGUCACGUGGAGGAGAGGGGGACUGGGAGGGUGCAGCUUCGGCUAAGUUGACGUGUUGGGGUUUCAAAAAUCAAUGUCAGUGGCUGUUGACGGAAAAAGAAGGUUUGACAAUGGCACGACUUCUAGUCCUAACCAUGGUGGUGGGAAAAAAUCGAUGGUGGGGGUAAGGGAGAAAGCUAACGGCGGCUGGAGGGGUGCUUGGGUGAAAAUAGGGAAAAAUUUAGGGUUUGAAGGUGUAGAAUGAAAGGUGUUUGGUUGUAAAAUGGGUGUUUGGACGUAGGUUUUGGGUAAGUUUAAAGUAAGGUGUUUGGUUGUAGUUGCUUUAUGCAGCAUCUAGGGUUUUUGAGGCAUAACAAAUGACAUGGGGCUCUCUGUCUAUCUUUUGUCCCAACACGGCCCCCACAUUGUUCUCGCUUACAUCGCACAUAAUUUAAAAUGGGUAGUUCUAAUGUGAUGCUUGUACUAUAGGAGCGGAAACCAACUUCUAUUUGAACGUGUCAAAAGCCUUCUUACAUUUUGGGCUGAACUCAAAUUUCUUAUCUUUCUGCAAUAAUUCGUAUAGUGGUUCAACUACCUUUGAGAAGUUCUUUAUAAAGCGCCUGUAAAAUCUUACAUGGCCAAUGAAAAAACAUAUUUCCCUUACAGUUGAGAGAUAUGGCAAAGAAUUUAUAAUGUCAGUUUUGGUCUUAUCAACCUCAAUCCCUUUAGCUGAAACUAUAUGUCCUAGAAUUAAACAUUUAUCUACCAUAAAAUGACACUUUUCAUAAUUCAAGACAAGAUUAAAUUCUAUGCAUCUACUUAAAAUUAUCGUGAGGUUUUUAAGGCAUUCAUCAAAACAGUUCCCAUAUACAAUAAAAUCAUCCAUAAAAACUUCGAUGAUGUUUUCUACAUACUCAGAAAAUAUACUCAUCAUACAUCUUUGGAAGGUGGCUAGUGCGUUGCAAAGUCCGAAUGGUAUCCUUCUAUACACAAAUGUGUCGAAUGGGCAUGUAAAAGUGGUUUUUUCUUGGUGGAAGAAACCUGAGUAUCCAUUAAGACAGUAAAAGUAAGUUUUACUAGCUAAAUGCUCAAGCAUUUGAUCUAUAAAAGGAAGAGGGAAAUGGUCUUUUCUAGUAUAAGAAUUCAACUUCCUAUAAUCAAUGCAGACAUGCCACCCAUUUUGCACUUGGGUUGGUACCAGGUCGCCCUCAUCAUUUUUCUUUACUGUCAUGCCUGUUUUCUUAGGCAUGACCUGCACCGGACUUACCCAUCUACUGUCAAUAAUGGGGUAUAUUACGUCAGCAUCUAGAAGCUUAAUUAUUUCAUUUUUACCACAUCCAUCAUAUUCGGGUUCAACCAUCUUUGCACCUUCGCUUUGGUUUCAUGUUUUCCUCCAAGUAGAUCUUCUGUGUGCAUGUCAAAAGGCUUAUCCCUUUUAAGUCAGCAAUGGUCGAGCCAAUCAUCUCUUUAUGGUUUUUUAGUACCUAUAUCAAACUUUCCUCUUCAAGCUUAGAGAGUCUAUAAAAUAACCUAUCCCUAUAAAAUAACGAAAUGAAUAGUACAAGGGAAGUAGGGUCAAAUCCUUAAGGGCUAGAUUUACACAACUUCUUGUUCCUCGAGAUCUCGGGCACAGUCAUACCCAAGAAAAACGGCAUACCUGAAAAAAUAAAAAAAAUAGAAUUAAAAAUAUGGACGAAUUGAGAUUAUAUAAAUUGAAAUUGAAAUUGUAAAAAUAAAUAGAAUUGAAAAAAGGGAUUCUUCGAUUUAAGAGAUUUUAGCCUCCGGUUGUCCCGAUCCUCCUUGGGUUCAAUCCUAGGCUUUUAGGUGAUCCUUCUCAUAACAGAAUAAGUCAGAUAUAGUGGAAGAGGACGCCUACAACCACCAGUUCUACUUAGAUUUUAGACUUGUGUUUAAAUAGAGUCUUGUGUUUAUAAAAUCUCUUCUUUGAACUUUUGCCCCCAAGUCUUCCACACUUUUUAUUUUUGACACCACUUAUUUCCUAUUUCGCAUGUUGGCCCAUUUUGCUUCAAAUUCACGCUUUUUGGCCCCAAAUUUCCUUUUGCCUUCAAUUUAAUCCCUACGAGAUAAAAAACCAUAAACAACUCAAAUUAGUAGGAUCAUACUCAAAAUAAAUAUGUAAUUAAUACAUAAAAAUAUGUUAUUCCAGCAUUUUCAGUUAUAUAUAAGGGUUAAAUCAUAAUUUAGUCCCUAAAGUUGUACCAAAUAAUUUGUUUAGUACUUAAAGAUUGUAUUGCAUCAAUUUGGUACCUGAAGUUCGAAAAUGUUUAUACCCAUUACUCCAAAGCCUAAUUCCAUUAAAAAAAACUAUUUUUUCGAAAUAAAUUCAAAAAUAAAAAUAGAGAAAUAACAAAAAAGUCUCAAUUUAAAAAAAAUUGAAAAAACUUAAAAUUUAUAAAGAAAGUCAGAAAAUAUGAAAAUAUAAUUUUUAAAAAAUACAUAAAAUAAAAAUUAGCGAAAAUUCAAAAAGAAAAACAAAAUUAAAAAUUUAGAAAAACACUGAAAUAAUAUAGAAAUAUAAAUGCCUACAGUACCUAUUAUUAACGUUGAAUUUUCUAACUUUUUCCUAAAAAAUUGCUUUUAGAUUUUAUUUUUUAAAAAUACAUUUUUUUAAUAAUUUGAGUCUCAUGGCUAUAAAGUUCUUUUAACUUAGCAAUAUGUCAUAUUUUAUGUUUCUAAAAAUAUUGUAGUCUCCAAAGGUGUAGUCUCGACCAAAAAAACAAACAAGAAUUUGAUUUUUUUUUCCACUAAGUCUUCAGAAUUUGUGAUUACCGUUUUUAAUAGUAAUGUUGUCACUAAAAUUCUAUUCUGUAUCUACCUUAUUUUACUAUUGCACUUCAUACUUAUUGAUGAUUUAAUUUUAUUAUUAAUAAUUAAUUAUGAUAUAUAUUAUAUUUAAGAUGGAUUUUCUUAUUCAUGGAUAUCAAUUAAAUAAAAUAUUUGCAUUUAAAAUUAAAACUAUGACAUUAAUUUUUUUUUAAUUUAAAUCAAUUUGGCUCUUUUAACAUAGGGAAGUCGAAUUGCAUAAACAAUCAAUGUAUUACCUAUUUUAUUCAUGUUUACCACCGUGCUUAAAGAAAUGCUCACUUUUUUAGGGUGUGCUUACCAUUGAGAUUGGAAAACAUCAUUCAACCCAAACAAUGAUUUCAAACCAAACAUUAAUUUUAAACUAGGAUUUUAAGCCAAUCCAAAACUUUUACCUUUUACCUUUUGAAAAAGUACUUUUCAAUUAAAAAUCUUUUUAUUCCUCAUUAAAUCUUCUAUUUUAUAACAUUACGUCUAAAAUAAAUAUUUUAUUUUUCUAAAAUUAUUUAUAGACAACAAUAAUAAACACUAUUAAUUUUUCUAAAAGCACUUUUUCACUGUAAUAUUAAACUUAAAUGAUAAACUUGCCUUUUAACCACUCUUUUCUAACAUAUAGCAUAUCUCUUAGCAACGAUUUGGGACAACAAAAUUAAUGUAUAUAUGAAAACGAAUAUUGAAUUUGGAUGUCCAAUCAAUUUUUUGAAUAAUUAAUUAAAAAUAAUUUUUUAAUUCAAAAAAUCUAAAAGAAUUUGAUAAAAAAAAUGUGGAAGGGCACACUUGUAUGAUGAAUAGUAAAGAUAAUAAUGAUAGAAGUUGUUUUCCUGGCACAAGGAACUUAUGGGAUUCGUCCAUUUGGUUCUAUAUUUCUCCACUUGCUUGAGUGUUUAAGAGUUAAAGGACAAACUAUUAUGUAUAAACACCAAACGAAUUGGAAGGCUUUUGUCUUCUUCAAAUUUUACAUUCAAUAUCAUCAUCACAAUCAUGGUAAUUUACUUUCAUGAAUAAACUUUUAUGUCCCAUUUUAACCUGAAUUAUUAAAAAUUAUUAAGUCAAUUAUAUUUUUAAGAUGGUGUCGUUGUCCAGCGACAUUGAUUUAAAUUUUUUAAAAAAUUAUUUUAAAAAAUGAAAAAAAUUUACUUUUUUGAUUGAUUCAGCAGCAAGAAAAAAAAAAGAAAACUUUUCGGAUUCAAAACUCUAAAAAUCUGUUCAUGAUCUGAACGGUGAGGUGAUGUAUUUAACUGUGAAGAAUAAUUUAUAUUCGACUAGUGACAAUCUGAUAGAGUAAAACAGAGAUUAAAGAAAAAGUAGUUUGAAAUCUUGAUCAUUGUUUUAAAGGAUUUGAAGUAGAAUUCUACAAAAUUUAAAUUGUAGAAGUGAAUGAGGAGAAAAAGCCCCUGUGAAUGGCAACAUAGAUGGUUAUUUAGUAUGGUCGUUAAAAUUUUCAUUUAAAGAAAAAGGAAAUAAAUAAAAUAAAAUGAUAGGAAAACAAAAAUAAAAACGUGAAAAGAAAUAAAGAAAGAAUAAUAAUAAUAAUAAUAAUAAUAAUAAUAAUAAUAAUAAUAAUAAGAGAAUUUUGGGGGCGAUGCCUUUGUACAAAUCUGCAACUACACGUGAAGUGGAAUAAAAAGUUGAGCAUGUCGCUCAGCCUUGCGCUUUCGAGGCGCUCCAUUCAUCACGAAUGGGGCCAGAUUUCUCAAUGAGUGAAAGUGGUACUAAUAAUUUACCUCACAUUUGAAAUGUGUUAUAAAUAUAUAUGUGGAUGAAAUUUUUGCUACCAUGCUAAAAUUGAAGAUUUUAAUUUUGGUGGAUUUUAAGUUUUUAUAUAUUUUAAAAUUUAAAAUUUUAAUCUUAAUUUAAAUGAUAAUCGUUAAAUUUGUUGGGUCAAAUUUUGUUAUUAGUCAAUUACUAUGCAUAAUUAUGAACUUAAUUCAUGUAUUUCAAUUUGAUCACUUUCAGUCAUUAUAUUUUUCAGUUUUGGAAUUCUGGUACUACUUAAAUGGUAACUAUUAAAUCCAUUUACUAUAAUGAUAUAAGAUUUUUGUGAGUAUUAUGUAAAAUAGCUACUUAUCACAUUUUUAAUGUAUAUAUUUAUUAUAUUGUAUAUACCAUUUCAACUAAAUUCAUUUAAUUUUUAUAAAUUUAUUAUAUAAAUUUAAGUACAAAUAUGUGUCAUUCUCUAAUAACAAUAAUAAUAAUAAGUGGAUGACAUAAGAUGUGUCAAAACAUUUAUCUUCAAUUCUGAUGCAGAAAGGCAGGCGGUCAUUUUUAGUAAAAAUACAUAAAUAUAUCACUAAAUUAUUAGUAGCAUUCUGUUUUCCUUACUAAAUGAUAAUACUCUACUAAAAUAAACUUAACUAUUGUAAUAAAAUAUUUUUAUAUAAUAAAAAAAGAAAUUAUAGAAAAGACUUAUUGGAUAUAUUUCCAAUUUUCGACAUUCAUAAAAUAAAAAAUAAAAAUUAUUUAUACAAAAUCAAAAAAUGGUCCUAUUAAUUUACCUCACAUUUGAAAUGUGUUAUAUGUAAUAAUAUUAAUAUCUUUAUCAAUUUUGGACUUUCACCUUUCCCAUCUCUAUAAAUUUGCAUGCAGAACUAAAGCAACACAUAUCAACACAAUCGGUAUAACCAUGAAAACCACAACAGCUUCGGUGUUUCUUCUUUUCAUCAUCUUCUCGAUCACACCAUCGUCCUUUUCGUUUGGUGUGGCCAACACUACAAACGCUCCUGUGCUCGACAGUGAUGGCAACGAGCUCCGCACUGGCACCCCAUACUUCGUUGUGUCGUCGAUAUGGGGUGCUGGUGGUGGGGGGCUUGACCCAGGCAGGCCUAGAGGAAAGCCAUGCCCGGAAGUCGUUGCUCAAAGAGGAUCUGGUGACAAUGGUAUUCCGGUGAUAUUUUCUAAUUCGGACUCCAAAGAUGGCGUUGUUCGCCUAUCCUCUGACAUAAACAUAGCGUUCGUUCCCCUCAGACCCAAAUUUUGCGAAACAACAACGGUGUGGAAGGUCGCUGAUUACGACCACUCAGCCGGAAAAUGGUGGGUGAUAACCGAUGGGGUUAAAGGGAACCCAGGUGCCAACACUUUGACCAGUUGGUUUAGAAUAGAGAAGACGACUACUGAUUUUGAUUACACAUUUAAGUACUGCCCCGCAGUAUGUGGAACAUGCCCAGCCUUAUGCAACAAAAUUGUGAGAGACUUUGAUGGAGAAAUGGUACGUUUGGCUCUCACCACUGGCCAUGGAUGGCCAUUUAUCUUUAAGAAAGUUGGAAAAUCAGCCAUGGAGAUUGAACAAGUUGUUCAUAAUUAGAUUGAAAGCAAUCAUUAUGCAUGAACUAGUAGUUACUACAUAAUAUUAGCUUCAAGUAAAUAAUGCUGAGGGAACUUAUUGUUAAGAUUGCCUUGUUUGAAGCGGCAGCAUGUAUAUAUAUAUGCUUGCUUACAAGGUUUGUCUCUCAGAGUCCUCCUCUUUGUACUCUUUUCAGCUUAAUGAAUAAACUGUUUACUUAUUUACUUCUUUUGUUGCCAUUGAUUCUAGUAGCAUUCGACUCAUUAACUUGGAUACAUUACCUUGUAAUUAACCAAAAAGUUAUGUGUAUAUAUAUAAAGAGUGUGUGAGAGAAAAAAUAAAAUACCAAGUACCAAGUGAAAAAUGUUAAUACUAGGAUUAUUCAAAGCGAUUUCAAUGAACAGAAAUGGAAUAGUCGUCGGGUGGUUAGGACAUUUUAUCUUUAGAGAUAAAGAAGGUUGGUUCAUGUUCGGAGUUUGUGGCCACUCCUUCAAUAAUAUCGUUUUUAAAGUUUAAACUUGUAUCACAUUUUAAACACGUAAUGUAUCUUACCAUUACAUCCAACAAUAUUAACCAUUUACUCUAUUGUAUUGUAUUGUAUUCUAUUAUUAAUUAAUGAUUAUGAUAUGUAUUAAGUUUAAGAUGAAUUUUCUCAGUAAUGUAUAUCAAUGAAAUCAAAUAUUUGUAUUUAAAGUUUUAACUCCACAUUAACUUUUUUUUUAUUUUGUCCGUUUGCUGGCGAUGAUUAGGAGAUUAAUGGUUGGUAUUUGUGGUUAGUAGCUUAUAACUCGAGGGUUGAUAGUGGCCCGACUCCACUUAAAUAAAAAAUUUUACAUUUAAAUUUCUUUAUAAUUUAUAAAAUUUUAAAUUAAUAAUAAAAAAUUAUAUUUUAACUCUCUAAAAUUAAUAAAAAUGAUAAAAAUGUAGAAGUAAAUUUAUACAAUUAAUGAUAAUAAUGAUAAGAAGUUGUUUCCUAUCACAUGGAAAUUUAUGGCAUCGUCCAUUUGGUUUUAUAUUUGUCCAUUUGCUUGGUUAAGAGUUGAAAGACAAACUAUAAUUAAAUAUACAAAACCAAACGAAUUUCAAGGGUUUUCUCUUCAAUUAUUGUCGAAUUUAGCUAAUUAUUAGUAAUUUUUAUUAUUUAAUUAUAAAAAUUAUAAAAUAGUGACUUAAUUAUAAAUAUAUAUAUAUAUAUAAAAUAGCCAUCUAAUUAUUUAAUUUUUUUCUUUUUUAUCAUCACAGGAUUAAUGGUGGUAAUUUUUAUAAUUGACAUAAUAGUAACUUUAACCAUUAAUAAUUAUACAUUAUGUCAAUUUAGUCUUGAUUCUAAAAAAUUUAACCUUUGACAUUUACACAUAUAUAAUUUGAUAUUUUUAUAAUUUUAUUUUUUACUAAAAAUAAAUCAUGAAAAUAAUAAAAUAUGCAUAAAAAUAAAAAUACAGCUACCGAGUAUAUGUCUUAUUGUAGAUUUAUAACAAUUAUCUUUUCAUAAAGAUAUUUUAUUAUAAAAUAUAUAAUAAGCACUUCCCUGUAACAAAUAAAAUUGUAGUAAACAAAUGAAAUUAUUAUAAAGAAGAAUUUUCUAUUUUCAUAAUAAUAAUAAUAAUAAUAAAAGAAAAGAAAAAAGUGGUUCUAUUAAUUCACCUCACAUUUGAAAUAUGUUAUAUGUAAUAAUAUUAAUGUCUUUAUCAAUUUUGGUGGUUCAUCCUUUCCCAUCUCUAUAAAUUUGCAUGCAGAACUAAAGCAACACAUAUCAACACAAUCUGUAUAACCAUGAAAACCACAACAGCUUCGGUGUUUCUUCUUUUCAUCAUCUUCUCAAUCACACCAUUGUCCUUUUCGUUUGGUGUGGCCAACACUACAAACGCUCCUGUGCUCGACAGUGAUGGCAACGAGCUCCGCACAGGCACCCCAUACUUCGUUGUGUCGUCGAUAUGGGGUGCUGGUGGUGGGGGGCUUGCCCUAGGCAUGCCUAGAGGAAAGCCAUGCCCGGAAGUCGUUGCUCAAAGAGGAUCCGGUGACGAUGGUAUUCCGGUGAUAUUUUCUAAUUCGGACUCCAACGAUGGCGUUGUUCGCCUAUCCUCUGACAUAAACAUAGAGUUCAUUCCCCUCAGACCCAGAUUUUGCCAAACAACAACGGUGUGGAAGGUCGAUGAUUACGACCACUCAGCCGGAAAAUGGUGGGUGAUAACCGAUGGGGUUAAAGGGAACCCAGGUGCCAACACUUUGACCAGUUGGUUUAGAAUAGAGAAGGCGGGUGAUCUUGAUUACCCAUUUAAGUACUGCCCCGCUGUAUGUGGAACAUGCCCAGCCUUAUGCAACAAAAUUACGAGAGACUCAGAUGGAGAAAUGAUACGUUUGGCUCUCUCCGCUGGCCAUGGAUGGCCAUUUUUCUUUAAGAAAUUUCAAACAUCAGCCAUGGAGAUUGAACAAGUUGUUCAUAAUUAGAUUGAAAGCAAUCAUUAUGCAUGAACUAGUAGUUACUAUACAAUAUUAGCUUCAAGUAAAUAAUGCUGGGAGAACUGAUUGUUAAGAUUGCCUUGUUUGAAGCAGCAGCAUGUAUAUAUAUAUGCUUGCUUACAAGGUUUGUCUCUCAGAGUCCUUCUCUUUGUACUCUUUUCAGCUUAAUAUAUAAACUGUCUACUUAUUUACUUCUUUUAUUGCCAUUGAUUCUAGUAGUAUUAGACUCAUUAACUUGGAUACAUUGUCUUGUAAGAGAUAGCUUAUCUCUUAACAACUGUUUGGGUCAACAAAAUUAAUGUAUAUAUGAAAACGAAUAUUGAAUUUGGAUGUCCAAUCAAUUUUUUUAAUUAAUUAAUUAAAAAGAAUUGUUUUAAUUCAAAAAAUCUAAAAGAAUUUGAUAAAAAAUGUGGAAGGGCACACUUGUAUGAUGAAUAGUAGUGAUAAUAAUGAUAGAAGUCGUUUUCCUAGCACAAGUAUGGGAUUCGUCCAUUUGGUUUUAUAUUUAUCCACUUGCCUGAGUGUUUAAGAGUUAAAAAGGACAAAACUAUUAAGUAGAAAACACCAAACGAAUUGGAAGGCUUUUGUCUUCUUCAAUUAGUAUGACCUAUAUUUCUUAUUAAACUUCGUAUUUUACAUUCAAUAUCAUCAUCGCAAUCAUUUUAAUUUAUUUUCAUGAAUAAACUUUUAUGUCCCAUUUUAAUUGAAUCAUUAAAAAUUAUUAAUUGAAUUUUUUUUAAGUCAAGUGAUACUAAUUUGAUUUUUUUAAAAAAGUUGUUUGAAUUAAUUUGAUUUCGUGUCAUAAUUGACAUAAAUGGCCAUUGUGAAUGGCAACAUCAAUAGUUAUUGAGUACAGCGGCUAAAAUUUUCAGUUAAAAAAAAAAGAAUGAAAGGAAAACAAAAAGAAAAACGUGGAAAGAAAGAAAGAAAGAAAGAAUAAUAAUAAUAAUAAUAAUAAUAAAUAAAAUAGAAUUGUGGGGGCGAUGCUUUUGAACAAAUCUUGAUUUAAACUAUAUAAAGAAAAUAUGUGUUAUAUAUAUAAUUAAUUAUGUACUUAUACUUAAUAUAUUAUAUAUCUAAUGUCAUAUUUUCAUAUUCUCAGGAAGUGGUGACAUACAAAUACUUGAUUCGAUUUAUUUCUUUAGCUCCCCGUGAAUUGUAUGUUUGUAACAUUAGGGAUAGAAUUUCUUCAAUUAUCCAAUUGACUGGACGUAUUGUGUCGAUUUUUUUUUAGUAAUAUACCUAGAAAUACCCGUUGAUUCUUUAUAAACGCUGUUUCGAACACAACUGGUACACUCUAAAAUAAUUUACUUGAACAUCAUUACUCUUAGCCAUGAACCUCCUUUGAGUUUUUAAUUCACCCAACUUUUUUAUUUUCCGAUCAAAAGCAAAGAAGAAAGGAAUGAAAAGAAAAGAAAGAAAUCAAAGUUGCUAACUCAAAACCAAAUCCUGAAAAUUUUCAUUUCAAUGAAUAUAGUAAGUAAAUAUAGAUUUAUAGUAAUAGCAAAUAAUAAGAAUUAAGUAAUAUAACGAUUUUUAAUUCUAUUUAGAAUCAAUUAAAAUAUUCAAAUAAAUAUUCAAUUAAAAUAAAUUAAACUGUAUAAAUUUUAUAAUUUUAAAUUAUUAUUUUUGUAUUAAUUUAAAAACAAAAUAAAUAUUAUAUACAAUGAUUUAGUUACAGCGUGUCAGCUUGAAGUCUAAGACUUUAUAACAUAUAAAUUUAAUAGAUAAUUAAUAACUAAAAAAUUAAAUAGCAAAAGCAUAAUUGCGCCACUUCUCACCAUUUUAAUGUAUGCAACUUAUUAUAUAUUUAUAUAUAUUAUCAUUUUAUUUUAAAUAAUUUAAUUUUAUAAAUUUAGGGAUAAAUCUCAAAAUUAUACAUGAACUUUAAUUUAAUAUGCAAUUGUAUAUAUAAACUUUAAUUUGGUACAAUUAUACACGUGAUACUUUAAUUGUGGUUUAAAUACUCACUUGAAACUUUAGUUUUGAUUUAAUAAUGCAUAUUUAAAUAAAUAAAUACAUCAAUUUUUUUAUAUUGGGUAAAUAUAAUUAUUUAUGUAUGCAAUAUAUAACAUAAAAUGAUGUUAUAUCAAUAAUUGUGUUAAUAAUUUUCAAGAAUUGGAUCAAAUCAAAAUUUCAUGUAUAAAAUUGAACAAAAUCAAAGUUAAUGUAUACAAUUGCACAUUAAACCAUAAUUCAUGUAUAUUUUUUUGUAUAUAUCCCAUAAAUUUAUUUCAUUAACUUUUUACCUAUAUCAUAUAUAGAGUUGUUCGUGAACCGAGCCAAGGAAUGCCUGCUCGAAAAAAUGAGAGGGUUUGGCAAAAAAAUAUAUGCCUAAAAAAUGGGCUUGGAUAAAAAGACAAGGCCCGUUUAGAAAAUGAACCGGCAUUGAGUAGGGUUUUUUUGUCCGGGCUCAGCCUAACCCGAAUUUUCAAUUAAAAAAAACCUUGUUGUUUUUGCUGCUAUUUUUCCAUAUCUUGGUGUUGUUUUCUCACUUUUUGCCGCUAUUUUACUACCAUUUCACUAUUAUGUUACUACUAUUUUUUUUAAUGUUUGGAUAUAGUAUAAUAAUUGUUUUAUUGUUAAUUUUAUCACUAUUUUAGAGACAUUUGUUUGUUAUGUUGUACUUAUUUUAGUUUUUAUUUAAGUAUAAAAAAAUUUAAAAUUUAUUUUCAAUUUAUUGAUAAACAUGUAAUUUAAUAUUUUCAGUGUAUUUAUUGUAUUAUAUUUGUUAAAUUUAUAUAAAAUUAAAAUUAAAAAAAUAUGGACCGAGAUGGGAGUUUAACAAAAAUUUAGGCCCAUUUUUCAAGUCGGGCCGAUCUCAAACCUAACAAUCGGACUUAAAAUUUUGUUAGAGCUCGGCCCAUCCCAUGAACAACUCUAAUUAUAUAUAUAUGUCAUUCUCUAAUAAUAAUAAUAAUAAUAAUAAUAAUAAGUGGAUAACAUAAAACUAGUAGUAAAGAGUAAGAAGACAAAGAAGAAUUAAGUGGAUAACAUAAAACGUGCGAAAACAUUUAUCUUCAAUUCUGACACAUAAAGCUAGUAUUUUUGGGUAAAGUAUAGAAAUGGUGAUUAAAUUAUUGUUGAUGUUCUAUUUUAAUUUUUAAUUUUUCUAUUUUAGUUAUUAAAUUAUUUGAAAUUAAAUUUUUUGGUUAUCAAAGGUUAACAGUAGUUUGAAAUUUAACAGAAAUAUUGAUGUGAACUUUUCUUAUUGAUUUAAUAAUAAAUUUAGCCUUCUAAUAUUUAUAUAUUCUAUUAAUUUGAUACUAAAUAUAAAAAUUUAACAAAUUUAACCUUCAAUAUUUACAAAUUUUGUUAUUUUAAUUCAAAUUCUAAAAAAAAUUUAAUAAAUUUAACCCUCAACAUUAAAAAAUUUGAUAAAUUUCAAUUUUUAAAAUUUUGUAAAUUCCUAAAAUAUAAAGCAUCAUUCUCCACCUCAUAGGAUUCCAUGUAAAUGGAUUUUCUUGAAUUCUUUACCAAGUUGUCUUGAGUUUAAUUUCUUCUUAUUUAGUUUGUGGAAUAAAUGGCAUAUAGUUAGAUGUCACUGCAGCUGACAAUGAAAGGUUUGACAAAGUUGAUAAAUUCAGAGCUUUUGAUGCUGAGCUUCAAAUCAGUCUUGCCUCCACUCACCCAAGAAAUCAACUUUACAAUUUUUAUUAAGUCUUAACUAGAUUAAUAUGAGUAUUGUUAUCAAUAUAGGAGAAAGUGAAUUUUAGUGCGUUGAAACACAUUAUCUUCUUAUUGAUGAAUUGAGGAGGGGCUAUGAAUAGUUUUAAAUAUUAUAUUAAAAAAGCAGAGAUAAUUGAAACCUACAAUAAUAUUGUUCAAAAAAAUUACCUAAAAACACGAAAUCUUACUCCCUGAAUUUUCUAGAAACACAAAUAUUUCUCCCUGCCUUUGAUGGUGUAUACAUGCAUGGCCAUGUGUGAGCUCCUGCAUUUUAACUAAUCAACACAGAUAAUACCCUCAAUGAGACAUUAAAAUUAACUUUUAUUUUUGUUUUUUCAUAAAUUUUAUAAUUUUGUAUUUCAAUGAAAAAAUCUAAAUCUAAGUUGAUCCGAGUCCAAAAAAAAAUCUGAAGCUGUAAAAAGUUUGAUCUGAGGCUGCUCAUUUGCCACCUCUAAUAACCAUUUGAUAGAGGUUUAAUAUAAAGGAAUUUAGAUUUUAGGAAUUUAUAAAAUUUUUAAAAUUAAUUUUUUAUUUGUAAAUACUAAGGGAUAAAUCUAUUGAAGUUUUUAAAAUUUGAACUGAAAUGUCAAAAUUUGUAAACAUUGAAGGCUAAAUUUGUUUAUUUUUUCUAUUUAAGACCAAUCUGAUAGAAUGUGUACACAUUAGAAGACUAAAUUUAUUAUUAGACCAAUAAAAAAAUGCCCAACUUAACGCUUUCUCAAAUUUCAAACCGAUGUUAAUAUUCAAUGACCAAAAUUUUUUAUUUCAAAUAGUUUAGUGACCAGAAUAGAAAAAAAAUUAAAAGUUUGAUGACCAAAAUAGAACGCGGAUAAUAAUUUAAUGAUAUUUUUAUACUUUAUCUGUUUUUUAUGAUUAUUUAUACAUAUCAAGUGGAGCUAAUUUAGGGAAAAGAAUCAAUGGUUAAGGUUGUUGUUGAUACUUAAUGAUCAGGGUCCAAAUUUUGCUAAUGUAAUUUUCCUUAUCAUAAUUUGUAUCUUAAUUUUGUUACCAAAAAAAUAUUAGUAAUAAAUAAUAUAUGCUCGAGAAAUGUACGUAUGAUUGAUUUAAACAAUACAUGUUGGAGUAAUUUACAUAUGGAUUUAAAAUAAAUUUUAAAAAUAAAAUAAAAUUUUAAAAAUCCAAAAGUAUUUUUUCUUUUAAAAAAAUUUAAAAAUAAUUUUUAAAUUAUUUACAUGAUUGAUUUAAAGGAUUUCUUUCUAUUAAUUAUUUUUAUAUUAAAUUUAUUUUCCUUUAUGUAUAACAUUUAAAGGGUUUGUAUAUAUGCUAACUCGCGAGUCAAUUAAAAUUUGUAUUAUAUUCAUUGAAUUUUUUUAAAAUAUAUAUUUUAUUAAUUUAUUUAUUUAUUUGAGACCCAUGAUAAACUUGUAUUUAAAGUUAUUGGUGCACACUAUAAAUUCAUAUAUUGAAAAUGAUAGGUGCUAAAAGUAACAUGUUUUAGUCUCAUUCUUAAUGUGUUUUUGGAUGAUUAUUCGAUAUAAAAUGGUUAAUUUUAUGCUACUAAACUUUUCAAUUUACGUUCUACACUUAAUAGAGCAUUUAGGAGCAAAAGAAGCGAAAAACGAGCGAAAAUAAAAAAAAUAGGAGCAAGUCUCAAAAGCCACACAGGCUGAGCCAUUCCACACGGGUUGGACACAUAACCGAGUGAGCCACACGACCAUGUGCUAGACUGUGUGGAAAUCGCAAAUUACACUCCAAACGGCGUGAAAACACGUUAAUUUUAAGGUUUUUUAAGCAUUUUAAUACCUAUACAUGACAAAGAUAAGAAGAGGGGAGAGAGUCGUCAGAAAAUAUUAAAGAAAACAACUUAAAAAACACCAUUGAAGCUAACUUUGAAGCAAAUUUUCAUCAAGAUUGAAGAUCUCAUUUUGAUUUUUUUGAAGUUUAUUAUGAGUUUCUUUAUUUAUUGUAGUUAUACUGUCUUUAGGAUGUUUUUAUUUGCUAUCAUGAACGAAUUUUCUAAAUACCUAGGGAGAUGAAUCCUAUCAUGAAUUAUGUUAUUUGAUUUCUAUUUUUACGUAAUAAAGACUUAGAUCUUAUUCUCAAUUAUGUGUGCUUAAUUCUUGGUUUAAUAUUUCUAGACUAUUAAUCAAUGUUUGAUGUGCUUAAAUCAGAGGAGGAAUAAACCCUAUUUAAGAGUAGAUCUAGCGUAAAUGAGUGGAGUUGCAUGCAAUCCUAGAAAUAGGACAACAUAAAUCUACCGUAAUAGAUCCAAAUCUAAUAGGGGAAUCUAUAGAUCGAGUUAAUACGAUGAUAGAGGUUUUAAUUAGAAAUAAAUUUCAGUUAAUUAACCUAGAGUCAGUUACUCUUAGUCUUGAAGAGAUAUAUUAGCAUAAUUUAGGGAUUUUUACAGAUCAAUAUUCUAAGUGACGAAGUUGUGUAAUAUAGAUUGAUAAUGACAUAUGAAGUCUAGGUAGAUUCUUUCCUAGGUAUUGUCUCGCUCUUGGUUAUUAUUUGAUUAUUUUCUUGAUUUGUGCUUUGUUGUGUUAUUUAGUUAACUAAUUUAGUUAAUUUUAGUUCCAACCAAUCACUCCAAUUUAUCAGUUAAAUAAUAGAAAAGACGGUAAUUACUGGUACUUUUAGUCUUUGUGAAAACGAUAUCUUUGCUCACUAUAACUAUACUAUUAAUUGAUGUGCACUUGUCUGAGUUAGAUUUUUAGUUGGUUUACGACUGCAAUCAAAAAACUCAUUAAGUUAGCACAAACUAAGUUAAUUAUUCGUUGGUUGCUUUAUUUUUUUUCCUGAAGUUUCGAUUUCAUCUUUCAUUAUGUACAACAAUUUUGGUAUAAAAAUAUCAAAUUCUCGACACUUAAUAUAUACCUUUGAAAUAUAAACACAUGCAUCAAUUUUUUUAGGUUCCUCACAACUUACUUGUCCAAAAUUCUUGUAUCUUUCAGUUCUCCUGAUUGAAUCAAAAUUUGACUUUGUAAUUAUUUUUUAAGGACCUCAAACUAUCAAUUUAUAGUAUAAAUUUUCAAUAGCUUUCAUUCUUUACAAAUUGGUCCCUAAUUAAUCAACAAUGGUAUUAAAGCUUAAGCUUAGGGUCCCGUUGUUUCACUGAAAAUGGCUUUCGAAAAAUAAUUUCUAGAAAAUGACUUACUUUCCUAGAAAAGUUAAUAUUUUCUGAUGUUUGGAUGAAUCAGUGUAAAAUAUUUUAUAUUGUUUGACAAAUUUCUUAAAAAUAUUUCAUAAAAGCUGUUUUCAAUGAAACAAACAUGCAUUUGAGAUUUUCUUAUCUUUUCAUUGUUUAAUUAAGUUUAUCUUAUAUCUAUAAAUUUAUAUUUUACAUUUUUUUGCAUAUAAUAAAAAUAUAUAUUUUUUAAUUCAGGUUCACUACCAUGUCACUUUUUAGUUACAUGACUACCAAGUGAGUAUUUUUUUUAUUUAAAAAUGUGACAUCAACAAAAUUGACAAAAAAAAAAUUUAGCAAUGUCAACAAUUGGACUUGAUUUUCAAAUCUGAAAAGUAGAGGGACUAAAUUCUUGAAAAUAAAAGUAUAGAGACUAAAUUGAAAAUUUGUGAAGAAUACAUAGACUUAUCACAUUUUUUAACUUUUAUACUACAAAAUAUUUAUCAUUAAUAUAUUUAUAAUUAUAAUAAAUAUUUAUUAUUAAAAUAUUAAUAUUAAAUAUUUUCAAUAAGAAGAAUAUUAUUUAAAAUUAUUUUUUUUAAUUUUUUAUUAAAAUAAAAUUGAAAUAUUAAAUAAUUUAUUAAAAUAAUUAAUUUUAUUAAUAAUUAAUUUUAUGACUAAAUAUAAAUAAUUAAAUAUGUGUGUUUAAUAAUAUUGAAAUAUAUAAUAUUUUAUAUUAAUAUUUUAAAUAUUUUUAAAAAUAAAAAUAAAAUUUAUUUUCAAUAUAAUAAUAUUAAUAUUGAUUUAAAUGAAUUUUUAUAUAAAAAUAAAAUUACCUAUAGAUGAGCUCUUUUCCAGAAAAUGACUUACACUUUUCAAAAGGAUAAGUCAUUUUAUAGGAAAAAGAGUUCAAUUUUACAUUGACCUGUAAGUCAUUUUCCGAUGACCAAAAUGUUUUCUGUAAAAUAAACAUAAGAAAAUGAAGAAAAUAUUUUCCGUAAAACCUUUUACAUGUAAACAAACGGACCCUUAAUUCAAGCUUGUUCUAACAUAACCCACUUCACUAUUAGCAUGACUCUUCCUUAUACUAUGUUUAACCAUUAACCCUUCUCAUGAUUUCUAACAAAAAUUCUCUAAGUUCUCUUUAAUGGAAACUUCUAUUAGCUUCAACAAUAAGAAAUUCUAACCAUUGGGUUGGUUGUAUCAAGUUUCAUAGUUUAAAAAACUAUAAAAAAAUUAUUUAGAAAACAAUUUGUUUACCUUUGAUGGCCUUGAUGGAGAACAACUUGGUUUCUUCUUCUACUUAGUUUAAAGAAUGCAUGAAGAAGAAGAAGAUUUCCCCUCUCCCUCUAUCUUAAAUAUAUAUAUAAAUAACCUAUUAAUCAAGGUAAUUAACUCACUAAUUAAUCUUAAUUAGUUAUGAUCUAAUGGCCAUAAACUUACCAUAAGAAAAUUAGUGGAAAUGUGUGGCAUUGAUAAUGGUUUGCCAAUAAUCAAACUUCGGGCAUGGUAAUAUUGCAAUCAGGUCCUUGGUUUAAUUACACUUUAAGUACUUGCUAAAUUCUCUAAUCAAUUCCCACUAGUUGGAUCACUUGAACAAUUGGGUCCAUGUAUUAUAGUUACAACUUAUCUAAUUUAAUCAAUUAAUGAUUUGACUUUAUAAUUUCAUGUGCAACACACAAACUCCUCCGGUAAAUUCUCAAGCUAGCUUUAUUUAAAAAUUUGGCCUCAAAACCAGCUUUCCAAAUGUUCAUGAAAAUUGAGUUGUUACAUUAUGGUAUUUGUUUUGUUCAGCUUAUUUGUCAAGCUCUAUUCCUUUGAACUUAUGUUCGUUGACUUUGGUGUUGCUUAAAUGAAAAUGUGGUGAACAAUAUUAUGGAUAGGAGGAGUGUAUGAUUGAGUAUGUGUAACACCCCUAACCCACAUCCUUCGCCAAAUUAAAGUGACAGAGUGUUAUUAUUCAAAACAGAACAUUCCAUGACAACACAUAAACAAUUAUGCAAAUUAUCACAAUCAUUAAUUAACCAUAUUAAAAUAUAACAUAAGUAUCCAUACGACCUUUAAAUCGAGCUUAUAUGGCCUUAAAAAUAGCUUGGGAUCAAUCUAGGAUCAAUUUGGAACAUAACAUAAAUUUUAAGAAAAAUCUAAAAAUUUUGGGAAACAUGGGUCACACAACCGUAUGUCCAGGCCGUGUGACAUAGCCCAGACCUUGUGGGAAUUCAAAAUCAGGACACUCAAUCAUGUCCUAGCCCGUAUGUCUACCUGUGUGAAUAUUUGAAAUAGGGUCCCACAGUCGUGUCGCGGCCAUGUGCUAAACCGUGUAUAUAUUCAAAUUAUGAACACAUGGCCGUGUCGCAAGCCAUGUGCUAGACCGUGCUCAAAACUAUUUUGAGACACACAGCUGUGCCUUAGGCUGUGUGAAAUUUUCACUUUAGACAACGACACACAGCCGUGUGCCAGACCAUGUACACCAAAAUGUACCUUAAAAAUCAAAUUUACCAAAACAUGUUUACUUAGGCAUCAAGCAACCUAAUUACCAUCAAUCAAACUCAUUCAAAACACAAUUAAACAGGUUCAAAACAUCCAUCCUAAGUGCCUAGCCAUUGUGCCCUCAUUGACAUCAUAAUUCAAUAAUCAAAUCAAUCACAUUUAAACCAAGAUUUAAACAUUCAAAUUAUAAAAUCAUCAUUAACCAUUCAUACCAAAACACUGAUCAUUUCAAGUCAUAAACACCUAGCAAUAUUCACAUACUUUAUAAAGCUUAACUACCAAUACCAAAUAAGAUCCAUACACACAUACAUACCAAACAAAACACAUAUUCACAAGUAUCAUUCAAGAUUUACAACUUUACAUGUAAUUAACAUAAUUUCAAGUCAAUUAUUACAUGUCAUACAACCCAAAACAAACACUAAACAAACUACCAAUAGUUUCUCGAAUAGUGUGAUUCUUGAAAUCAAAUUGAUCACCCGAAGCGUCAAAAAUAAAUCUACAAGAAAGCAUUGGAAGAGACACAAGAGUAAGCUUACUUAAGCUUAGUAAUUUCCAUGGAUUUAAACAAUCAACUUACCGGAUAAACUUAUCUAAUAUAGAGUAUAGAAAAGUCAUAAAUCAUAAUCAUGUCAUCCAUAAUCAGAUCACGAGUGAGUCUUAAACUUAAAUAUGAAUGAAUUAAUUCAAUCAAUUACAUUAUAUCACUAAAUUAUACCCGAUGAACGUUGCAAUGGAUUUGGAUACACAGUUAACCAACCAAACACUCCAAAUCACUCAAAUGAGCUAGCCAUCUGAAAGUACACAUGGGCACCAAGUGCCAAGCCCAUAGGCUAACAUCCCUCCGAAACACACCUUGUCACCAAGUGCCAAGCCCGUAAGCUUUACAUCUGCCCCAGAAACACACCUGAAGCACUGCAAUAUAACGUAAUAGUUCGCAACAAAUGUUGAACUUCAAUAUAUUCAAUAAACAUGAAUAAGAUCAGAAUCAUCAUCUCCACAUCCACCAAUCUCGUAAAGCGCACGAUAUAACUUAUUGACAUGCCAAUUGUAUCCUAUCAUACAUUCAUCGGCUCACAUAUUUGUCAUUUAACAACAUUUAAUACAAUUUCUUUCCCAAAUCAUUUCACUUACCACAAUUCAAUACUUCCAUGUCAUUUAAUAAUUUCAAUCCACAAGUAAUUAAAUAUUUAAAUUAUACUAAAAUUAAACUGUACAAACUCACUAGGGCCAAAUUGCAGAAACAACAAAAGUUCAGGGACUAAUCAACAACCUUCCCUUUUUCCACAAUUAUCAACUUGAUCUUGAUCUAUAAUAUAAUUUAUUUCAAUUAUUAGCCUCAAUUUUCAUAUUCUAAUCAUUUCAAAACAUAUGAUCUCUUAUUUAUAAAUUUACACAUUUAUCCCAAAUUUUUACAUAUUAUACAAUUUAAUCCCUAUGACCAAAUCAAGCUUAGUUCUACAAUUAAAUUCUCAAUCCAUAGAACUAAAUUUUAACCACAUCCAAAACAAUCCAUAUAUGCUAAAAUUUUCAAGAGUAACAUGUCUAUUUCAGUUAAAUCACUAAACAUCAAAUUUUGUAAAAAUCACUUACAAACUCAAUACAUAUGGUCACCAAGCUUCAACCCAAACUAUUUACUACUACAAAUCUUCGAAAAUUUCAAUACAUAAUUUCUAUACUUUGAUAACUUCACAAAUAAACUCCAAAACUAGCUAAAUUCCAUUAUCAAUAGCUCAAAACUUAAAAUUUGAUGAUGAAUAAACCAAGAAAAUACUUACAUGCAUUAAAAACUAACAAAAACCAAGAUCCAAGCCUUAGAACAAUGGUGUUUCGGCCAAACCUAAGAAAAAUAAAGAAGAUGACCACUACCCCACUUUUGUUUUACUUUCCUUUUAUUAUUAUAAUAAUCUUUAUUUAUGAAAUUAUAACAUUAUAAAACACCAAUUUAAUUUUUUUUCUCUCUUUACCGCCCAUAUUAACUAACUAUGGGCUAAUGGCAACAUAACCUCCCUUAGUUUACUAAUUUAAGCUAUUAUAUUAAAAUAAAUCUAUAAUAAGCAACUUUUCCACCUAUUACAUAUUAAUCUUUUUUCUUUAAUCAAUUCACUAUACGUUAAAUUUUCUAAACCAAAACUUAAUACGACACUGAUGACUUUGUAAAUAUUAAAUAAUUAAUAAUUCUAGACUGACACGUCGAAAGUGUAGUCCUAAAACUAUUAUUUUCGACACCACUGGAAAUCGAACUGUUAUAGUAUGAUUCUACCUCUUAGGGGGAGACGUAUUCUAGUUUCCUUUGACUUGUUUAGAUGAUGUGUUAAUCAUUUGCUACUGGUUUUGUCAAAAUGCCAAAUGGUGAGAUUGUUUCAAACUUUGUUCAUGUUCGAACAUUAGAUUAAACAAUGCUUAAUUUGAUGCAUUCAAAGAAUUUAUGUUGGCAUGUUUGACUUUAUAAUGAAAUGGCUUAUGAUUUAAUCUCGUUGAGUAGCAAAUGGGGAAGUGAUUUUGUGUUAUAACAUGUGAUGAUCAUUAUCUUUCAAUCAACUACCUUGAAGAAGAAUGGGAGGAGUUUGAACUUUUGUGGACUUUCGUAAUAUUUGAAGCUGCUAAGAUACUUGUUUAUAAAGACUUUUAUGAUAUAACUAAUCAAAAUAAUUCAUGUCAGAAUUUUUGGAGUUUUAAACUUAUGAAGACUCUAGUAUUGGCCUAUAAAUAGGCAUAAUUACCGCACAUUGAAAAUAGGCUUUUGGAGGGUUUAAGUUGGAUGCUUUGGUGAAUUUUUCCUGUGUUUUAUACAACACUCUUUUUUAAGUUUUUAUUGGGGGAUAUUUGCUUGAUUGUAAGUGAGAUAUUUUGGAGAGAGUGAUUUGUAAUAAUUUAGGUUCAAUAUUGAAGUUGCAAAUAACUACAAGGUAAUGGUAAUUUGGACUCUAGUCAAUAGUUAAUCAAGACGAAUUGUAAAUAAAAAUUAUUUUUUAAGUGAAACUUUACAGAAUAAAACUAGUGAACUCAAACUACGCUAACAAAUAUUAUAUACUAUCUUUCCUUACUUUACUCGUUGCUUUACCUUAUUUUAAAAUUGCUUUGUCAUAAAUGUAUUAUGUUUGACCCUUUCCGAUCGAAAUAAAAAAAUGAGAUUGAAAUUGUGAUAAAGCUAAAAAAAAGUUACAACAAAUAUGAUUAAUAUUAUUUUUAUAUAUACUUACUAAAAUUUAAAAAGGAAUUACAUUUAUCGAAUAUUAUUUUAUUUAAUAAAUAUAAUUAAUAUAUUUUAUAUAAAAUUUAAACUUUUUAUUAUUUGUUAGCUAAAUUUUAUUAUUUUUAUUUUCUUUAUGAAUAAAAUUAAUUUUCCUAAAAUUUGAGAUAAAAAAAUGUUAUAUAGAAAAUUAAAUUAGUAAAAAGUGCAGUUCAUACUUUAUAAUUAUUAUAAAUGAAAAAAUAUUAUAAAAGAUAAAUAUUAAACAUAAAAAAAUCAAUUCUAAAAUAAACUUAACUAUUAUAAUAAAAUAUUUUUAUAUAAAAAAGAAAUUAUAGAAAAGACUUACUGAUUAUAUUUCCAAUUUUCGACAUUCAUAAAAAAAAAGUGGUCCUAAUAAUUUAUUUAUACAAAAAAAAAAGUGGUCCUAUUAAUUAACCUCACAUUUGAAAUGUGUUAUAUGUAAUAAUAUUAAUAUCUUUAUCAAUUUUGGAGGUUCAUCCUUUCCCAUCUCUAUAAAUUCGCAUGGAGAAAUAAAGCAAUACAUCAACACAAUCUGUAUAACCAUGAAAACCACAACAGCUUCAGUGUUUCUUCUUUUCAUCAUCUUCUCAGUCACACCAUCAUCCUUUUUGUUUGGUGUAGCCAACGCUACAAACGAACCUGUACUCGACUUUGAUGGCAACGAGGUUCAAACAGGCACCCCAUAUUACGUUGUGUCGUACAUAUGGGGUGCUGGUGGUGGGGGGCUUGACCUAGGCAGGCCUAGUGGAAACCCAUGCCCGGAAGUCGUUGCUCAAAGAGGAUCCGGUGACAAUGGUAUUCCGGUGAUAUUUUCUAAUUCGGACUCCAACGAUGGCGUUGUUCGCCUAUCCUCUGACAUAAACAUAGAGUUCAUUUCCCUCAGACCCAAACUUUGCCGAACAACAACAGUGUGGAAGGUCGAUGAUUACGACCAUUCAGCCGGAAAAUGGUGGGUGAUAACCGAUGGGGUUAAAGGGAACCCAGGUGCCAACACUUUGACCAGUUGGUUUAGAAUAGAGAAGGUGGGUACUGAUUUUCAAUAUUACACAUUUAAGUACUGCCCCGCAGUAUGUGGAACAUGCCCAGCCUUAUGCAACCAAAUUGUGAGAGACUUUGAUGGAGAAAUGGUACGUUUGGCUCUCACCACUGGCCAUGGAUGGCCAUUUAUCUUUAAGAAAGUUGGAAAAUCAGCCAUGGAGAUUGAACAAGUUGUUCAUAAUUAGAUUGAAAGCAAUCAUUAUGCAUGAACUAGUAGUUACUACAUAAUAUUAGCUUCAAGUAAAUAAUGCUGAGGGAACUUAUUGUUAAGAUUGCCUUGUUUGAAGCGGCAGCAUGUAUAUAUAUAUGCUUGCUUACAAGGUUUGUCUCUCAGAGUCCUCCUCUUUGUACUCUUUUCAGCUUAAUGAAUAAACUGUUUACUUAUUUACUUCUUUUGUUGCCAUUGAUUCUAGUAGCAUUCGACUCAUUAACUUGGAUACAUUACCUUGUAAUUAACCAAAAAGUUAUGUGUAUAUAUAUAAAGAGUGUGUGAGAGAAAAAAUAGAAUACCAAGUACCAAGUGAAAAAUGUUAAUACUAGGAUUAUUCAAAGCGAUUUCAAUGAACAGAAAUGGAAUAGUCGUCGGGUGGUUAGGGCAUUUUAUCUUUAGAGAUAAAGAAGGUUGGUUCAUGUUCGGAGUUUGUGGCUACUCCUUCAAUAAUAUCGUUUUUAAAGUUUAAACUUGUAUCACAUUUUAAACACGUAAUGUAUCUUACCAUUACAUCCAACAAUAUUAACCAUUUACUCUAUUGUAUUGUAUUGUAUUCUAUUAUUAAUUAAUGAUUAUGAUAUGUAUUAAGUUUAAGAUGAAUUUUCUCAGUAAUAUAUAUCAAUGGAAUCAAAUAUUUGUAUUUAAAGUUUUAACUCCACAUUAACUUUUUCUUUAUUUUGUCCGUUUGCUGGCGAUGAUUAGGAGAUUAAUGGUUGGUAUUUGUGGUUAGUAGGUUAUAACUCAAUAGUGAACUCGAGGGUUGAUAGUGGCCCGACUCCACUUAAAUAAAAAAUUUUACAUUUAAAUCUCUUUAUAAUUUAUAAAAUUUUAAAUUAAUAAUAAAAAAAUUAUAUUUUAACUCUCUAAAAUUAAUAAAAAUGAUAAAAAUGUAGAAGUAAAUUUAUACAAUUAAUGAUAAUAAUGAUAAGAAGUUGUUUCCUGUCACAUGGAAAUUUAUGGCAUCGUCCAUUUGGUUUUAUAUUUGUCCAUUUGCUUGGUUAAGAGUUGAAAGACAAACUAUAAUUAAGUAUACAAAACCAAACGAAUUUCAAGGGUUUUCUCUUCAAUUAUUGUCGAAUUUAGCUAAUUAUUAGUAAUUUUUAUUAUUUAAUUAUAAAAAUUAUAAAAUAAUGACUUAAUUAUAAGAAUUAUAAAAUAGUGACUUAAUUAUAAAAAUAUAUAUAAAUAGCCAUCUAAUUAUUUAAUUUUUUUUCUUUUUUAUCAUCACCGGAUUAAUGGUGGUAAUUUUUAUAAUUGACAUAAUAGUAACUUUAACCAUUAAUAAUUAUACAUUAUGUCAAUUUAGUCUUGAUUCUAAAAAAUUUAACCUUUGACAUUUACACAUAUAUAAUUUGACAUUUUUAUAAUUUUAUUUUUUACUAAAAAUAAAUCAUGAAAAUAAUAAAAUAUGCAUAAAAAUAAAAAUACAGCUACCGAGUAUAUGUCUUAAUGUAGAUUUAUAACAAUUAUCUUUUCAUAAAGAUAUUUUAUUAUAAAAUAUAUAAUAAGCACUUCCCUGUAACAAAUAAAAUUGUAGUAAACAAAUGAAAUUAUUAUAAAGAAGAAUUUUCUAUUUUCAUAAUAAUAAUAAUAAUAAUAAUAAUAAAAGAAAAGAAAAAAGUGGUUCUAUUAAUUCACCUCACAUUUGAAAUGUGUUAUAUGUAAUAAUAUUAAUGUCUUUAUCAAUUUUGGUGGUUCAUCCUUUCCCAUCUCUAUAAACACUACACCAGAAUAGGUUUUUAGCGGCGUUUUUUAGGCCUUUAGCGACGCUUAUUAACGCCACUAAAUCUAUUUCCGGCACUUACAAAAAAAAGCCGCUAAAGAUCAUGUUCUUUAGCGGCGCUUAGGAAAAAACGCCGCAAAAAAUCAUGUUCUUUAGCGGCGCUUAGAAAAAAACGCCGCUAAAGAUCAUGUUCUUUAACGGCGCUUAGAAAAAAACGCCGCUAAAGAUCAUGUUCUUUAGCGGCGCUUUGGAAGAAAACACCUCUAAAAGUAAUGUUCUAUAGCGGCGCUUGUUCAAAAACGCCGCUAAAAGUAGUGUUCUUUAGCGUCGCUUGUUUCACAAACGCCACUGUUUUGAUAUGACUUUUAGCGGCGCUUUUUUAAAAAAUGUCACUAAUUUUGGGAUUUUUUUAAAAUAAAAUUUUCUGUUUUUUUCAGCCCUCCUGCAACAACAAAUCAAAAGCAACCAGAUCUAAACUAACCAAAAAUAAUAAAUUUAUAUAAUAUUUCAAAUUAAAUGAAUAAAAUAAUAUUAAUUGAUAUAAAUAAAAGUGAAUUUCAGACUUUUCUUUACAAAAACGUUAAAAGUAUUUAUGCAACAUACACUAUGACGGCGGAAGUUGCGACUGCUGAAACAUCUUCAUCAUAAUCUAAAGCUGCUGUUGAAGUUCGUCGUACUUUUUGCUCUACUUUGCUUCUCUCGAUGCCGCAUCUUUUUGAAGCCGUAGCUGUAGUUCUUCACAUUUCUUUUGAACCUCUGCUUCUAUCGCUGCUUAUCUCGCUACGGCAUCUGCUUCCCUCACUGCUGCCUCUGAUUUAAGUUGUUGCUGAAGUUCUUCAUAUUUCCUUUGAACCUCAAAUGUGGUCGCUUGCAUCUGAGUCAUCUAGUCUUUUAACCUCUGAACUUCAGCUUGAGACUGACUCCCCGAAGCCAUGUAUUGGUGCGAGCUGGAUCCAAAAUAUUGGGUUGGGCUGAUAAAAGAUCCUUGAAAUCGAACCCGACCAUACUUUUCAGGACCCAAAACUUUAGUAAUAAUCCGGUUAUCAAUGUCUUCAAGAUGAAUAGAACUAUCACUAGAAGCAAUCGUUUCGUACUCUGUCUUUUUUUCCUUCAGUUUUUCCUAAUAAAUAAAUCACAUAGUUAGGAACGCAAUAUAUAGUAAAAAAAACAAAUGCAAUAUAACAAUAGUCGCAUUACAAGCAAUGAAUUAAACCAUUAGAAAAUAAACACUAUAAAUAACUAAAACAAGUGAAAUCGUAUUAAGUAAACGUACCAUAAUUUCACCAGCUUCAGGAGUCAUAGCAGAUCCAUCUUUCUUCUUAUGUGUAAUUUCAAAAAGUUGAAGGCGUCCAACUUUUUGAUCGGACGACCGUUCCUACAACACUCUUUUUUAAGUUUUUAUUGGGGGAUAUUUGCUUGAUGUAAGUGAGAUAUUUUGGAGAGAGUGAUUUGUAAUAAUUUAGGUUCAAUAUUGAAGUUGCAAAUAACUAUAAGGUAAUGGUAAUUUAGACUUUAGUCAAUAGUUAAUCAAGACGAAUUGUAAAUAAAAAUUAUUUUUUAAGCGAAACUCUACAGAAUAAAACUAGUGAACUCAAACUACUGAACUCAAACUACGCUAACAAAUAUUACAUAUUAUCUUUCCUUACUUUACUUGUUGCUUUACCUUAUUUUAAAAUUGUUUUGUCAUAAAUGUAUUAUGUUUGAACCUUUCCGAUCGAAAUAAAAAAAAUGAGAUUGAAAUUGUGAUAAAGCUAAAAAAAGGUUACAACAAAUAUGAUUAAUAUUAUUUUUAUAUAUACUUAAUAAAAGUUAAAAAGGGAAUUACAUUUAUUGAAUAUUAUUUUAUUUAAUAAAAUAUAAUUACUAUAUUUUAUAUAAAAUUUAAAUAUUUUAUUGUUUGUUAGUUAAAUUUUAUUUUUUUUUAUUUUCUUUAUGAAUAAAAUUAAUUUUCCUAAAAUUUGAGAUAAAAAAUGUUAUAUAGAAAAUUAAAUUAGUAAAAAGUUAAAAAAAUCAAUUCUAAAAUAAACUUAACUAUUAUAAUAAAAUAUUUUUAUAUAAAAAAAAAGAAAUUAUAGAAAAGACUUAUUGAAUAUAUUUCCUAUUUUCGACAUUCAUAAAAAAAAAAAAGUGGUCCUAAUAAUUUUUUUAUACAAAACAAAAAAAAGUGGUCCUAUUAAUUUACCUCACAUUUGAAAUGUGUUAUAUGUAAUAAUAUUAAUAUCUUUAUCAAUUUUGGAGGUUCAUCCUUUCCCAUCUCUAUAAAUUUGCAUGCAGAACUAAAGCAACACAUAUCAACACAAUCUGUAUAACCAUGAAAACCACAACAGCUUCGGUGUUUCUUCUUUUCAUCAUCUUCUCAAUCACACCAUUGUCCUUUUCGUUUGGUGUGGCCAACACUUCAAACGCUCCUGUGCUCGACAGUGAUGGCAACGAGCUCCGCACAGGCACCCCAUACUUCGUUGUGUCGUCGAUAUGGGGUGCUGGUGGUGGGGGGCUUGCCCUAGGCAUGCCUAGAGGAAAGCCAUGCCCGGAAGUCGUUGCUCAAAGAGGAUCUGGUGACGAUGGUAUUCCGGUGAUAUUUUCUAAUUCGGACUCCAACGAUGGCGUUGUUCGCCUAUCCUCUGACAUAAACAUAGAGUUCAUUCCCCUCAGACCCAGAUUUUGCCAAACAACAACGGUGUGGAAGGUCGAUGAUUACGACCACUCAGCCGGAAAAUGGUGGGUGAUAACCGAUGGGGUUAAAGGGAACCCAGGUGCCAACACUUUGACCAGUUGGUUUAGAAUAGAGAAGGCGAGUCAUCUUGAUUACACAUUUAAGUACUGCCCCGCAGUAUGUGGAACAUGCCCGGCUUUAUGCAACAAAAUUGCGAGAGACUUAGAUGGAGAAAUGAUGCGUUUGGCUCUCUCCACUGACCAUGGAUGGCCAUUUUUCUUUAAGAAACUUCAAACAUCAGCCAUGGAGAUUGAACAAGUUGUUCAUAAUUAGAUUGAAAGCAAUCAUUAUGCAUGAACUAGUAGUUACUAUACAAUAUUAGCUUCAAGUAAAUAAUGCUGAGAGAACUGAUUGUUAAGAUUGCCUUGUUUGAAGCAGAAGCAUGCAUAUAUAUAUGCUUGCCUACAAGGUUUGUCUCUCAGAAUCCUCUUUGUACUCUUUUCAGCUUAAUAUAUAAACUGUCUACUUAUUUACUUCUUUUAUUAAUGUCAUUGAUUCUAGUAGUAUUAGACUCAUUAACUUGGAUACAUUGUCUUGUAAUUAACCCAAAAAUUAUAUAUAUAUCAAAAAAAAAAAUGAGAGUGAGAGAGGAAAAUAGACUACCAAGUAACAAGUGAAAAAUGGUAAUACUAGGGUUAUUUAGAGUGGUUUCAAUGCACAACCGGAAUGAAUUGUUACCUUAUCUUUAGAGUCAAAGAAGGGUUCGUGACUAGUCUUUCAACAAUACUAUUUUCAAGGUUCAAACCUGCAUUAUCCUUUAAAUACGUAAUGUAUUUUAUCAUUACGCUCAAUAUUAUUAGUGAUUUACUUUAUUCUAUUCUUAAUUAAUAAUUAUGAUAUAUAUAAAGUUUAAGAUGGAUUUUCUUAUUUAUGUAUAUCAAUUAAAUCAAAUAUUUGUAUUUAAAGUUUUAACCCAACAUUAACUUUUUUUUUAAAAAUUUCUUCGUUUGUUGGUGGUGAUUAGGAGAUUGAUGGCCGGUCUUUGUGAUUGGUAGCUUUUAACACAAUGGCGAAGCUAAGGAGGCUUUAAAUGUUUAAAUGAAUAUUUUUUUCAAUUGAAAUUUCUUUAUAAUUUAUAAAAUUUUAAAUUAAUAAUGAUAAAAUUACAUUUUAAUUUUUUAAAAAUGAUAAAAACGUGGAAGCACAUUUGUACGAUUAAUAAUAAUGAUAAUAUUUUUCCUACCACAUGGAAGUUUAUGGAAACACCAUUGGGUUUUGUAUUUAUGUUUUAUUCGACACUCUUAUAAGUUUUACUGGGGAGAUUUGUUUGAUUGUAAGUGAGGUAUUUUGCGGAGAGUGAUUUAUAAUAAUUUAAAAUUAAUAUUGGGGUUACAAAUAACUAUGGGAGUAAAGUAGUUUAGACUUUAGCUAAUAAUUGAUCAAGAUGGAUUGUAGAAUAAAAUCAUUUUCGAAGCAAAAUUUUAUAAAAUUAGUAAAUCUGAAUUAUUCUAUAAUAUUGAUAUUAUCUUUCUUCACUUUAGCCCUUGCUUCACCUUAUCUCAAAAUUAUUCUAUAAUAAUCUAUUUUGUCUCAACCUUUUCAACAGAAUUUAAAAUGAAACUAUUUCUAUGAAGUGCAAACCAAAAACUUUUUCACAUACCAAUAAAUGGCAAGCAACCAUACCGUGGGCCCAAUGUCCCAACAAUCAUCUAAACAUUUUUUUUUUCUUUUUUAAAUAAUAUGUAAUAAUUUAUAUACCAUAAAUGAAUAUUAAUUAAAAUAAUAUAAACAAAAUACGACUCUUUAAUAUAAUAUGGAUCCAAAAUGUUUCAUAUUUGAAAUGCAGUUUUUGAUAAUUUCACAUUUCAUAUUUUAUCUUAGAACAAAAAGAAAAUUUGAACUUAAUAUUUGGACUAUUGAUCAAUGGUGUUUAUUAUAUUUCAAGACUAUCAGAUUAAUCUGUCGAUACUACUUAUAUGGUAUGGUUUAAAUGGGUGUGUGUGGAUAUAGAAAUUUGAAAUUCUAUUGUAUCAAAGAAAUUUUUUUUAAAAAUAAAAUAAAAAGGAAUUUGAAAUUUAAAAUUUGAGAUCAAAAUAAAAAAAAUGAGACUUGUUAUAAACCAUAAGGCUCAAAAAAGGUUACAACAAAUAUGGUUAAUAUUAUUUUUAUAUAUACUUAAUAAAAGUUUAAAAUAUCAAAUUUGUAAUAUUAUUUUUAUUUAAUAAAAUAUAAUUAAUAUAUUUUAUAUAAAAUUUAAAUAUUUUAUUGAAAUAUUAUGUUAGGUAAAUUUUAUUAAUUUUAUUUUCUUUAUAAAUAAAAUUAAUUUUAUUAAAAUUUGAGAUAAGAUAAUUAAAUUAAUAAAAGGUAUACUUCAUAUUUUAUAGUUAUUAUAAAUAAAAAAUUAUUAUAAAAAUUAAAAAAAAAGAAUUCUACAACAUAAUGAAAUAUUUUUAUUAAAAAAAACAGAAAUGAUUGAUGGAAUAUAUUUCCAAUUUUCGACGUUCAUUAAAAAAAAAAGAGUGGUCCUAAUAAUUGAUUUAUUGGGGAAAAAAAAGUGGUCCUACUAAUUUACCUCACAUUUGAAAUGUGUUAUAUGUAAUAAUAUUAAUAUCUUUAUCAAUUUUGGAGGUUCAUCCUUUCCCAUCUCUAUAAAUUCGCAUCGAGAAAUAAAGCAAUACAUCAACGCAAUCUGUAUAACCAUGAAAACCACAACAGCUUCAGUGUUUCUUCUUUUCAUCAUCUUCUCAGUCACACCAUCAUCUUUUUUGUUUGGUGUAGCCAACGCUACAAACGAACCUGUACUCGACAUUGAUGGCAACGAGGUUCAAACAGGCACCCCAUAUUACGUUGUGUCGUCCAUAUGGGGUGCUGGUGGUGGGGGGCUUGCCCUAGGCAGGCCUAGCGGAAACCCAUGCCCGGAAGUCGUUGCUCAAAGACGAUCCGGUGACGAUGGUAUUCCGGUGAUAUUUUCUAAUUCGGACUCCAACGAUGGCGUUGUUCGCCUAUCCUCUGACAUAAACAUAGAGUUCAUUCCCCUCAGACCCAAACUUUGCCGAACAACAACGGUGUGGAAGGUCGAUGAUUACGACCAUUCAGCCGGAAAAUGGUGGGUGAUAACGGAUGGGGUUAAAGGGAACCCGGGUGCCAACACUUUGACCAGUUGGUUUAGGAUAGAGAAGGCGGGUGAUCUUGAUUACACAUUUAAGUACUGCCCUGCAGUAUGUGGAACAUGCCCAGCUUUAUGCAACAAAAUUACGAGAGACUCAGAUGGAGAAAUGGUACGUUUGGCUCUCUCCACUGGCAAUGGAUGGCCAUUUUACUUUAAGAAAGUUGGAAAAUCAGCCAUGGAGAUUCAACAAGUUGCUCGUAAUUAGAUUGAAAGCAAUCAUUAUGCAUGAACUAGUAGUUACUACAUAAUAUUAGCUUCAAGUAAAUAAUGCUGAGAGAACUUAUUGUUAAGAUUGCCUUGUUUGAAGCGGCAGCAUGUAUAUAUAUAU
rnacentral:lncRNA from 1 species